UUUACAGUUUGAUGCUCUUAUUGCUGCCCUGCCUUUGGAAGGCGGCGAAGAGGCACAGGUGAAGAGAAUAGCUGAGCUCCAGGCUGAGAAUGAAGUAGUAGGACUUGAACUUCAGAAACAGCUCGAGGCUGCAGAGCAGGAACUGAAACUGGUUCAGGCUUUGUUUUGUCAAGCUUCAGACAACUGUUUGAAUCUGAAGAAAGCAGAUUGAUUUUCUCUACUGUAAGUAAAUACCUGACUCCUUUGGUGCAGAGCCUCAUAAUUCAUGUCUCUUUGCUUAUAUGAUUGUAAUAUUUGAAUGUUUAAAUUAUAUUUGCUUCUAUAUCUAUAAUUACUUAUUUUA